GCGGCGCCUCGGCACGAAGCCGGGAGCGAGGCCAGGGACCCCCAGGCCGCUCCCCAGCAGCCGCACCGCGCGGGGCGGGGGACCCAGGAUCCGGCCUCCGGCGAGCCGGGCGACCGGAAGUAACCGCGGCUGCGGCCGCUCUAGGACAGCUAGAAGCGGUCGGUUCCGCGAGCUCGGUGGUCCCGCGACGGACAAAACGAAAGCGCCCUCAGCAAAGAAGGCGGCAUUCCAGGGCUUCUUCAGUGUUAGAGAAGCAUUUAGCCGAGUCCCUGGGGGCCUGGCAUCGAUGACCUGGUUAGUGACGCUCUCGGGCGGUCUUCCGCUCCGCAAGCCCCUCGGGGGCGCCACUUGCCCACAGUAAAGAUGGCCGCGGCCGCUUCGGCGUCUCGGCCCCGGCGCUCCGGGGAGACGGGAGGCGGCUCCGGAGUGUGACGGCCGCCGGCGGCUGGAGGUCCGAAAGGGGGGACAAGGGGCCAGGAUUCAGGGGCCUCGACCUGGCGACUCUCUCCCAGUCCCCUUCAGAAAGGCCAUUCAGUGACCUGGUCUCUUUGGCAAGCUCGUUCGUGUCUCCACUCCUCCGUCGCGAUAUUCUGGGGCGCCCCCACGCCCUUCGUCCACACACGGCCUAUUUCCACACGUUUGCUCCCUCGCCCAGGACACUGGGCCGCAGGCCUCGGAAGGCCUCGGACUUGGGCUGUGACCGAAGAGGAAACGGCCGUCGGGCGGCUGCCCAGGCCGGGCGGCGCGUCCGUUCCGGAGCGGCUGGACGCCCCGUGGGAGCCUUUCCGCCGCCGCGCACCGCCUGCCCCAGGCCUGUUCCAGGAGAGCAACCGCCGGCUUCGCGCUGAGCCGCGUCCCCCGCGGAAGGGACGGUGGUGGGGACGUAGAGGCGUGACCCGGCCCAUUCGCUGCCACACCCGACGGUGCCCCGCGAGCUCUCUCCCCGGGCCGGCCGCGCAGGGCGGCGGUGGGCUCCGUGCUCGGGCGCAGACGUCGGGCGGGGGCGUUCCGCGCACUCGAUCGCUGCGUGGAGCCGUCGGAAGCGCUCGCGCCCGUGCCCUCCCCGAGCCGCGCGUCCCUCGGCCAGAAACCGGAGCUCGGAGGGGUGACCUUGCCCAGGCCCCCCAGCUCGCAAGCCAGGAUUCAGACCCAGACGGGCUGACUCCAGAACCCCGCGCUGUCGUGCCUCGAAUAACUCAAGGCACAGGCUCCGCAGCCACAGAGCGAGGCCCCCAGGACGCAGUCGAAAUGCGGAGUGGCCUGCGGGCAGCGGCCUGGGGGGUCAGGAGCGCGGCUCGGCCGCCUCUGCAACUCCAUGCCGUUAUGUACAUGCACAGAGGGAAAACCUGAAAUGAUGGGCUGUGCUGAGUAUUGACAGGUCGCCCGGCUGGUCUCGGGCCUCCUGCUCUUGGCCUUCCCAUCCGGCAGCGCCGCAGCCUGGCUCAGUGAAAAGAGCAAGAAUCCGGGGACUUGCACUGUGCGAUCUUGGGUAAGGUCCCCCCGUCUCGGGGCCGCAGCCCUUCGCAGAGCGGGCUCUGUGCGGCAGCACUUCCCUGAAAGUCCGUGGAAAGGACCGAGCCUUCUUCCCCAUGGCCCCCGACGCUCUCCUCAGCCAAGAAACCUGUUCCACCCCCAGCUUCCUAAACCUGCUUCAGCCUUUGAACCCCGCAGCCCCCGGAGCCCCCUUCCGGUUCCUCAGAGCCGCGGCCCUCCCUGUCCUCGCCUCGCCACCCCGGUCACCCCAGGAACGGGCCCUCCCUCCGCCUCCUCACUCAGCCAACACUCUUAGCACCAUUCCUGGCUUACGUGAUGCUCUCAGCCCCCACGUCCUGUCCUGUCCCCUGCGCUCCCGGUGUCCCCCUCCGACCUGCUGCGACUCCCCAUCUCCGUUCUGCUUGCCCCACUGCAGUCCAUUCCCAGAGUGGCCAGAGUGGGUUUGCAAGCCACAUUACCCGUGAGGUCCCUAGAAGAGUCGGACUCGGAGGGAGAGAAAAUAGAAUGGUGGUGGUGGUGGUGGGGGGGACAUAGUGUUUACCCGGUACAGGUUUCAGCUGGGGAGGAUGGAAACGGCCUAGAGGGGCUGCUGGUGAUGGGUGCGCACACGCAUUGUACUUAAUGCCACUAAACUCUAUACUUAAUACUUGAGGGGCGCCUGGGUGGCUAAGUCAUUGAGCAUCUGCCUUCGGCUCGGGUCAUGAUCCCAGGGUCCUGGGAUCGAGCCCCACAUCAGGCUCCCUCCUUGGUGAGAAGGCUGCUUCUCCCUCUGCCACUCUCUCUGCUUGUAUUUCCUCUCUCACUGUCUGUCUCUCUGUCAAAUAAAGAAAAUCUUAAAAAAAAUAAAAUAUUGGGGGGCACCUGGGUGGCUCAGUGGGUUAAAGCCUCCACCUUCGGCUCAGGUCAUGAUCCCGGGGUCCUGGGAUCAAGCCCUGCAUCGGGCUCUGCUCAGUGGGGAGCCUGCUUCCCCCUCUCUCUCUGCCUGCCUCUCUGCCUACCUGUGAUCUCUGUCAGAUAAAUAAAUAAAAUCUUUUAAAUAUAUAUAUAUAUAUAUAUAUGAGUGGCUCGGUGGGUUAACACCUCUGCCUUCGGCUCAGUUCAUGGUCUCAGGGUCCUGGAAUGGAGCCCUGCAUCAGGCUCUCUGCUCGGCAGUGAGCCUGCUUCCCCCCUUCUCUCUCUGCCUGCUUGUGAUCUCUGCCUGUCAAGUAAAUACAAUCUUUUUUAAAAAAAAACAUAUAUAUAUAAAAUGGCAAAUUUUGCUGUAUUUUACCACAAGGCAAAAACAAACACAAUCCAGUGGUUUUCCAAUAUGUUUAGAAUCAAAUCUAGAUUUGGCACCAUGGCAAACCAGAGUUCUAUAACCCGCUGCCUUUCCCCUCCGAGGUCAUCUGUGAUUCUUCUCCACUCAGUUCCUCAAUGCAGCCACCAGGGUCCUUUCUGCACCUCACCCAAACUCAUCCCUACCUCAGAGCAGGGCACCUGCUACUUCCUCUGUUUGGGAACAUCCCCCAGUCCCCCUACCCUAACUCCCAGCCUCUGAAACCCUGCACUGCCCCACUCCCACAACCCGCCACCUGACCUGUUUCCCCUUGGGUCCUUCUUCUCAUCGGGGUCUCAGUUCAGUUGCACACCAAGACCAGCCUAAGUACCCGUCUGCAACAGAUGCUUGAGGACAUCCUCUGUACCUUUGUAGUACUCAUUAUUUACAGUUAUAAUAACUUGUCUCCUGUACUGGCUUAUCACUUUUAUGUCUUACAUUUUUUGUAUUUUAUUUAUGUAUUUGAGCAAGAGAGAGCGGGAGCAGCAGGCAGAGGGAGAAGCAGGCUCCCCACUGGGCAGGGAGCCCCACAGGGGGCUCGAUUCCAGGAGCCUGGGAUCGUGACCUGAACCAAAGGCAGACGUUUAGCGGACUAACCCAGCCAGGCGCCCCACUUGCCUGUCUUACUCACAUGCUGGCUUAUCACUAGUUUUACCCCACCCUUCUCGAACGUAAGCUCCACAACAGUUCAUUUUGUUCUCCAUGCUGUAUCUCGGCACACAGAAUAGUGCCUGGUACACAGCAGAUGCUUAGAAUGUAUUUGUUAAAUGGAUAAACAAAAGAAAAGAAAAGAAAGCCCUCACUGGGCCGAGUGCCGACCUGGCUGCUCCGGGCCCCACACACGGUGCCAGGUUCCGCUCCCCUCUCCCCGGGCUGCCUCUCCGCUGCAGCCCCACCUUCUCUUCGCCUCAGCCCUCUCCAGUACUGGUCAUCCCUUGUCCUCCACACUGUCCCACUCCUGACUGACGGCCCCUCGCCAGGCCCUCAGGAUCCCUUGCUCCAGCUCUUCAUACUCGACCCCCCUGGAAUGUACUUGUUCACAGCUCCGACCGCCAGUCACUAAGUCAUGCCGAUUCUCUGGCAGAAGCCUCUCCUGAGUAUCUUUCUCCCCAGCCCCCAGGUCAGCAAACAAAGGCAACUGCAAGAAAAAUCUUGCUUUUUAGCCUGGUCCCAGCUCCUGCUCACCUCUAGCUGGUAGCAGAUGCCCAACAGAUCUCAAGUCUAGUCUCCUGCGUGGGUCACAUCUUCCGACAGAGCUGGUCAAAUACCCCUGCUCCUGUUAGAGACCUGUCUAUGGCUCCUCAGUGCCUACCCAGCAAACCUCAAGCCCUCCUGCAGGGAUCUGUGGCCUUCCCAGAUUGCUGUGUGUGUCUUCUAGGACCCUUUACCUAGUUGUCACUCAGGUGGAACUGCUGACCAUUCCCUAGACAGGGUUGAAAUCUUCCCCAUCCUUCAAGGCCAGUUUGAACCUCCUCCUCCAGGGAACCUCCCGGGUCUCCUCUUUGCCUUCCUUCCAUACUGUUUUGGAGUAACAGUAACCAGUGUUUACGGAACACUAACAUGCGAGGCCUUCUUCUGUAUUAUCUCAUUUAAUCUGUACAUCACUCCUAGGAGGUAGGUGCUGUUAUUAUGCAGGUUUCACAGAUGAAGAAACUAAGGCACAGAGAGGUGGGCAAGCACCGACUCCGCACUGUGCCCAUCUUCAUCCUUUCUAUGAAGCAAGGCUCCCUGUGCCCGAAAAUCUACUCCCACAACAAUUCCUACUCUGCUAUUCCCUCUGUUUCUACUAGACUUCCUAGUCAUGAUAUGGGAAGCACAACCAUCUCCUCUCCAAGCCACAUUUCCUGGUGGAUCAGCAGCCAGGAUGGGUUAGGUGGUCCCUCUGGACCUCUUCCAACCUAGUCUCGAUCACCAUGGAACAGGGGACCCAAGUCCCAGUGUCACUGGAGCCCAGCACGAAACCCACAGGAGCGUCACAUCGUGUUUGCUGAGUGAACGAGUGGAUGGGACCUGCCUGCCCCAGCCUGGAACUCCCGUACCACCCGGCCAUCUCCCCCACAGCAGCCACACGGUCUGCGGCCCCUGAAUGUUGACAGCACUUUCUAAGUGCAAGGUCACUGGCCUUGGUGGGACUCUCCAUCUCCUGCUAAGACUCCCCCGGGAAGGCAGGGCUAGGCCCCUGCCCAGACCCCAGUUUCCACCUCACCCUCACCGGAGCCCCGGCUCUGUUUCCUGCCGAGAUGUAACUGCCGUAGAAAGUGGUAGAUAACUAGGCACCGUGUCAGCUUUGUCCAGCUUUGCUGCUUUAUAGUCAUGAUGCUUUGAGAAAAUUGCUUUGUCCCUCAGAGCCUCAGUUUACUCAUCUGCAAAAUAUGGCUUUGAUGUCCACGCCCUGUCUCCUUAGCUGGCUUCUUUCCAUUUUCUGAAGCAUAAAAUGUCAACGACAGUUCACUCUUUCAACAAAUGUUUAUUGCACAUUUACUGUGUCCUACAUAUUAUCUUGUUAAAGUUUCAGCCUUCACAGUAACCCGUUGAGGUAGCUAUUUUUAAUCUUUAUUUUACAGAUGAGGGAGCGGAGGCUCAGGGACAGCAUGUGACUUUCCGGCUGUGCCUGGGGACAAGCUGCGGAGACUAGAUCUGGGCAUCGGUGCUCUUUUCCACCCACGUCACUUCCCAGGCUCACUGCUGCGGGGCUGGACCACCCCUGGGUCCUGGGGCCCCUCCCCAGGCCUUAGUCCCCUCAGCCCUUGCCUCUGAUGUAGAGCAGCAGCAAGGGGUGAGUUUCUGAGACAAUGGUAAAGCCUCAGUGAGAUUAACACUUUGAGAAAGGUCCAGCAUCUCACUCUACUCUUUGUUUUUGUUUGUUUGUUUGUUUUUUAGAAAUACUGGGGCAAGUAGGGUCAAGUUUAAUCUAUUUGUAUCUUUACAGGCACUUUUCUUUUUACAAGUUUUGAAACUUGAGGGAUCCUUGAGGGAAGCCCAAGGGAUGAAUUUCGGUUCCCAAACCCCUGCCACGGGAGCCCCCCUCAGGGCUCAGGCAGUCCAGUUGGUUCAGGCUCAACUCCAGCCUGCGCGAGGGGCUCACCCGCACUCCUCAAAGAUGUCUGGGUAGUGUCGGAACAGCACAGGUGGGUCCCGGUCACCCCUCACCGGAGCCCGAGGCACAGCGCGGAUGCCAGGCCUCCGGCCCCGCCGCCCCCCAGAGCAGGAGCGGUGGAUCCACUGGUGCGCCUCCACCGCGAACUUCCUCUUGAAGCGCAUGCCGCACUCGGGGCAGGGGAAGGGCCGCUCGCCGGAGUGCAUCCGCCGGUGGCUGACCAGCAGGGACGGGUAGGUGAAGCGGCGGCCGCAGUCCGCACACACGUGCCGCCGCUGGCUGUCCUGAGUGUCCACGCUGGCCGCCGGGGCUGAGGACUGCACGCCUGUGUUCUGGUUCCAGGCGGCACUGGUGGCCGGCUGUGCUCUGCCCGGAGCUUUUCUGACGGUCCAGUCGGGGUUGUGCUUAACCAGCUCUUCCGAAGGCUCCUUGCCGGGAGGCUUUCUGGGUCCCUUGGCUCCCGGCCCUUCUUCCCGUGCGGCUUUCUUCUUGUUUGGGGUGUCUCCUGGGAAAUGGAAAGUAAGAGACAUUUUAUCUUAUUUUUUAAAGAUUUUACUUAUUUAUUUGACAGAGAGAGAGCACAAGUGAGGGGAGCAGCAGGCUCCCUGCCGAGCAGAGAGACUGAUGUGGGACUGGAUCCCAGGACCCUGGGAUCAUGGCCUGAGCCAAGGGCAGCUCAGCUGACUGAGGCACCCAGGCGCCCCAAGAUACAUUUCAUUCAUUUCUUUUUAAAGAUUUUAUUUAUUUAUGACAGAGAGAGCGAGAGAGGGAACACAAGCAUGGGGGAGCUGGAGAGGGAGAAGGAGGCUCCCUGUGAGCCUGAUACAGGGUGGAUCCCGGGGGACUAGGGGGGACUAGGGGGGACUAGGGGAUCAUGACUUGAGCCGAAGGCAGAUGCUUCAGGACUGAGCCACGCAGGUGCCCCCCACCCCCAAGAUACAUUUUCAAACACAUUUGCUUACAUCCUCUCAGGUUAUAGGGUUCUUAUAGUUAGGGAAGCAGCAGCAAAGUCCUCCCCAGCGACUGACACACAGCCUUUGAAGGAUGAUCAACAAAUUUCCCAUCUCCUAAGAGUGACUUAUCCGGGUCUUGCCUCUCAUGUUUCAAAUGGGAAUCAAUGGUUUCUUUACUUCACAGGGUUGUUGGGAGGAUUAAAUCAGAAGCAUGUUAGGCAUUUAGUAAAUGCUCAAUAAAACAAUAGCUAUUA